rnacentral:rRNA from 1 species
UGGGGAAUUUUGCGCAAUGGGGGAAACCCUGACGCAGCAACGCCGCGUGGGUGAUGAAGGUCUUCGGAUCGUAAAACCCUGUCGUCGGGGACGAAGGUUGCGGGUUGAACAGGCCUGUAACUUGACGGUACCCGGAGAGGAAGCCCCGGCUAACUCUGUGCCAGCAGCCGCGGUAAUACAGAGGGGGCAAGCGUUAUUCGGAAUUAUUGGGCGUAAAGGGUGCGUAGGCGGUGUUUUAAGUGAGAUGUGCAAUCCCCGGGCUUAACCUGGGAACUGCAUCUCAGACUGGAACGCUAGAGUGCUGGAGAGGGUGGUAGAAUUCCACGUGUAGCGGUGAAAUGCGUAGAGAUGUGGAGGAAUACCAGUGGCGAAGGCGGCCACCUGGACAGCAACUGACGCU